rnacentral:rRNA from 1 species
UUCCGGUUGAUCCUGCCGAACCUGACUGCUAUCGGAUUGGUACUAAGCCAUGCGAGUCGUUGUAGCAAUACAAGGCGGACGGCUCAGUAACACGUAGUCAACCUAACCUAUGGACGUGGAUAACCUCGGGAAACUGAGAAUAAACCGCGAUAGAUCAUUAUGCCUGGAAUGGCUUAUGGUUCAAACAAUUUAUUGCCGUAGGAUGGGACUGCGGCCUAUCAGCUUGUUGGUGAGGUAAUGGCCCACCAAGGCUAUAACAGGUACGGGCUCUGAGAGGAGAAGCCCGGAGAUGGGUACUGAGACACGGACCCAGGCCCUAUGGGGCGCAGCAGGCGAGAAACCUUAGCAAUGUGCGAAAGCACGACUAGGUUAAUCCGAGUGAUUUCUGUUGAAGAAAUCUUUUGUCAGUCGUAAAACCACAGACGAAUAAGGGGUGGGCAAGUCUGGUGUCAGCCGCCGCGGUAAUACCAGCACCUCGAGUGGUCAGGAGGUUUAUUGGGCCUAAAGCAUCCGUAGCCGGCUACGCAAGUCUCCGGUUAAAUCCAGCUGCUCAACAGAUGGGCUGCCGGAGAUACUACAUAGCUAGGGAGCGGGAGAGGUAGACGGUAUUCUGUGGGUAGGGGUAAAAUCCACUGAUCCAUAGAGGACCACCAGUGGCGAAGGCGGUCUACCAGAACGCGUUCGACGGUGAGGGAUGAAAGCUGGGGGAGCAAACCGGAUUAGAUACCCGGGUAGUCCCAGCUGUAAACGAUGCAAACUCGGUGAUGCAUUGGCUUAUGGCCAAUGCAGUGCCGCAGGGAAGCCGUUAAGUUUGCCGCCUGGGAAGUACGGACGCAAGUCUGAAACUUAAGGAAUUGGCGGGGGAGCA